CGUUCCACUGCCUGGACCCCUCCCCCACCACCGGGGGCCCAGCUGCCCCGAUUCCUUCCCUCGGAGCUCAGACCCACGGGCAGGGGGCUUAGGACCUUGGCUCCCCACCCCCGCAGGUCAGGUUGUUCCCAAGUGCCUGAGCGACACCUGUGACAGCAGGAAGGGUGACAGAGGCCUCGAGCCUGGUGACAUUUCAAGGCGGCUUGCACAGUCCACCCACUGGCCAGUCCCCAGGGUCUCGGUCCCCAGAGUCUGUCCAACUUGGCACUGGAUCCAUGCAGGUGCCUGUGUGCGUGCCCCACAGGUGCUGAGACAUGGCCUGAGUUGAUCUUUCUGGAAGGACAGUGGAUGAAUAAAACCCUCUCCUCUGCAAGAAGGUCUGCGUAGCAGGAGUUCGGCACAUCCAGCCCAUUCCGCCCACGCAGGAGAAGAGACUGGAUCUCCACGCUCCAGAAGAAGAGACUGGAUCUCCACGCUCCAGGAGAAGAGACUGGAUCUCCACGCUCCAGGAGAAGAGACUGGAACUCCACGCUCCAGGAGAAGAGACUGGAACUCCACGCUCCAGGAGAAGAGACUGGAUCUCCACGCUCCAGGAGAAGAGACUGGAUCUCCACGCUCCAGGAGACUGGAUCUCCACGCUCCAGGAGAAGAGACUGGAUCUCCACGCUCCAGGAGAAGAGACUGGAUCUCCACGCUCCAGGAGAAGAGACUGGAUCUCCACGCUCCAGGAGAAGAGACUGGAUCUCCACGCUCCAGGAGAAGAGACUGGAACUCCACGCUCCAGGAGAAGAGACUGGAACUCCACGCUCCAGGAGAAGAGACUGGAUCUCCACGCUCCAGGAGAAGAGACUGGAACUCCACGCUCCAGGAGAAGAGACUGGAUCUCCACGCUCCAGAAGAAGAGACUGGAUCUCCACGCUCCAGGAGAAGAGACUGGAACUCCAUGCUCCAGGUGAGCCCUUCCCAAGUGGGGCACUGGGGCCAUGUCCACCCUGGGCCGGCUGCAAUCAGCCCUGAGGAUUUUCUGAGCCCUCCUCACACCGAGACCCAUGGACAUGUGCUGGGCCAAGAGGAGGCUCUGGCCGGUCCCCCCACCCCCAUGCCCAACGCCCAUCACAGGGCAAGUGCUCUGCAUGCCUUGGCCAGGUCACCCAGUGGCCAGCCACAGGGUCACUCUGAAGAUGUUUCUGCCCAGACUUCAGAUGGGAAAGAGCAAGGUGCCCGCCUGGCCACUGCAGAGAAGUGGCCAAGGAUGGGGAGGGGUGAAGUGGGCGCCCAGCUCUCAGCCCCCAGAAAGGCCAUUUGCAGACGCCCCCACCCUGCCCUGCCCUCCUCGCCAUCAUACCCCAGCAACACCAAAGGGUUUAUAAGGAACUGUUCGGCGCACCAGAGAGAACACCGCCGUCAUUAAGGGAUUUAACGACAGCUCUGCCCAAUUCUGGGAUUUGCUCUGCCCUCAUUACACACAGUAACAAGCGUUUCUCUGAGACGCGGCCCUGCGCCCAAGGCCACCCUCCUAUGCUGUGUGUGACUUUCAUUAGAAGGAGUUUUAUGAAGCCACCGAUCACAGACGCACGUCUGACCCGAGGCCGUGGCAGCUGCUGCUCACCGGCCAGGCGUCCUGCGCUGGGUGGGGCCUGUGUGUACCUGAGGGCCUGUCCUGUGCUGGGUGGGGCCUGUGUGCGCCCGUGGGACUGUCCUGUGCUGGGUGGGGCCUGUAUGUGCCCUCGGGCCUGUCCUGUGCUGGGUGGGGCCUGUCUGCCACCCCAAGUAUACAGAGAGGCACCUAUUACAAUGGUUAUCUCUGCAGCCAGAGCCUGCCCCUCCCCGACACCCUCAGCCAGGGCUGGCAUCGGGGACUGAAGGUCAACACCUGUCCACAAUGCUGUGGGCCGAGCUGAGCCAGGGCCUCUCUCUGGCCCCGUGUCGGCAGACACAUGCCUUUUACCUUAUUUUAGCAGCUGGACUAUUUUCCCACAAACCAUUAAAUGGUGUAAAACCCAAGUCAAAAAGGCAGAGGUGAAGCUGGUUCUGUCGGCACACAAUGGCCACCCCUCGCCUCACUCCACUCCCACCCAAGGAGCCCCGGGGACACCCCAAACUCCUGGGAAUCUUUGGAACCAUACAGUGACUGUGGCCUGGGAGUCCCCCCAGCUCAGCACCUUGCGCCCCUAACAGUGAGUAUGGCUGCGCGGGCAGCAGCCCUGCCCCAAGAGGCAGCCUGGGGCACCUGGGUUGCACCACCCGUGGUCUGGGGGCACAGCAGGCCAGGGCCCAGGCCCCAGUGCCCAGCAGAGGAGUGGCUCACUCCGAAGCAGGACUUUGGAGAGAGACAAUCCCCUUCCCAAGGUGACUUUGGAGAGAGACAGUCCCCUUCCCAAGGUGACUUUGGAGAGAGACAGUCCCCUUCCCGGCCAUCCGAGUGCCUGCUUGGCCAGGGACACUCUCAGUAGACCUGUGUUUGUAAGAUGGGGAAGGCAGGAAAGAGUCUCCCAAGGACAAGCUGCCAAGAAACUUCCUGACAAGCAAGUUUUGCAGCUGGAAGGCCCCAGGUGAAGCAGGGACUGGUGGCCGGGCUCUGUCCCUCUGGUUCUCAGGCCCUGCCACGGACCUUCUGCCCUCCACCCAGACCAGCCACCCUAGGCCAGGAUGGAAGCAGCCUCCCCAGGUGCAACCCAGACUGCAGGGUCCCUCUCUGGGCUCCAAGAGCCCCUUCUUCACCAUGCCUAGGAGGGGCAGAGAUGGGUGGUCUCAGGCUCUCCAUGCCCAGCCCCGUGCAGGGCUCUGAAGCUCUGUCUAUAAACAGUUGUGGCUCUGCCUCUUGACCAGCAAAGAAGCUCAAAGGAAUGAGAGCCACGGCCCAGGUGAGGGGGAGCGGAGUGGAGGGGAGGUGGGACGCACCCACAGCUUCUCAGAGGCCACCUCGGUCCUGCCCCGCUUUCCCAGACAGACGCUUGCAAGAUGCGGGCCUGGUGAGGCCUGGGAGAGAGAGUGCAGCAGAGGGAAGCCGGCAGCCCGCUCUGCAGCUGGGCCAAGCGCACCCCGCCCCCCAGAAACAGCCCAUGAAUAAGUCAGUAACAAGCCCUGGGAUCUGGCUCUGCCCUCGCACGGGCCCGGCCGGGGCGGCGAUGGCGUCCACAAUACCGUGCAUUCAUUACGCUCCUUAAAAACAGUGUUGUGUGUCUGGAGAACAGGAAGUGGCCGUAAGUCCCCCGUGUAAAAGCCAUCUGAAGCCACGGACCAGGUAUGUUCCCAAUCAGGAAGCAGGCAGUAAAUAAACAUUUACGUCCCGCGGCCGCGCACCCGCCAGCCCCAGGCUGCAGGGGGCACAGAGAGCGGAAAUUUGUUUAGUCCUAUAAAAGCACAGGCCGUAUAUCAAUAGAUGAUUAAAAAUGGAAACGGUGCUGGCUAAUGGAUGGUAUUGAUUUUAAUAAGCGUUAAGUACAUGGGUUCAAAGAUAAGAACCACACGGCCAUCUCUUCACUCUCGGAGAAAGUGGCUCCUGCCAAGAAGAAAAAAAAACCUCUUUUCCAAAUGGAAACUUUCACCCGUCUUACUGGGGGAGUGGCUUCCAAAUCAGCAUUCAUUUCAGAGGACAGAGUGUGGCCCGAGUGAUAUGUUCAGCCACUCCUGCAAUGAGGUGGGCACACUGCCCUGGAAGCAGGAGCAGCACAGGCGCAGGAGCCUCCUGUGUCCACGAGCCUGCCUGGGUGCCACGGGUGUGGCCACAAGUGCUGUCACAGGUGUGGCCAGUGUCCACUCACCCUGGGCAGUGUUGAUGUGUCCAGGGUCAGGACUCACCCCGUGCUGCUCCCUGGUCAGGGAAUCACCGAUUCUGGAUUUCAGGCUGCCCAAACACAACCGCACUCAACCAAAUUGAGCUCUUUAAAAAUUUUUUGAGACAAGGUCUCGCUUCAUCCUCGAAGCUGGAGUGCAGUGACAGACUCACAGCUCACAGAAACCACCACCUCCCCAGGCUCAGGUGAUCCUCCCCCCUCAGCCUCCUGAGUAGCUGGGAUGCCUUCACCUGACAUGGGAGAGCAGCCUGGACCCUCGGGAGGUUCUAGAAGUUGACCUUGCCCUUUGGCUGGACUCCUUUUAGGCAGGAGGGGGCAUAAGACUGAGCUGACUAUGUCCUGGGUCAGUGCACAAGGCCCCAGAAUAAGGCUCCACCCUCAGACCCAGAGACGGUCACCCUGUGCAGCCGCUGGCCAGAUGCAGGUCCCAUGCUCCAGCCUCAGUCACUUGGCCGGUGGGGGUUGCGACUGCUUGGGGAGCCCCCGUGCCAUGUGUCUGUUAUAGCCUUGGUGGGAGAGGCUGGGUACCCCUGGGCGUCUGUCACCUGAUGGCCCCGCUGCCCCUUGGAUACAGCUGGACUUCCUCCAGCACCGCUCCACGCUCCCCUGGCUCCCACGAGGAGGGCCACUUGCUCGGCUUAUUAACUCAGCGUUCUUCUCACCGUCUUUGGGCCUCCCUGCCUGCUGGCCUCCUCGGGAUACUGGGCCCUGAGAGGCAGGAACAGUGAAUCCAAAAUUCACCCGUCAGGUGUGUGGUUGGAAGCACCAGGUCCUCCCAGGGAAGAUGCUUCCGGGCGGCAGGGGCAGUAGCAGUUCUGAGACAAUGACAACGUGCUGGCGGCUCAUCUGCCCGGCUCUGAGCCCAGUCACCACCAGGCACCGGCUGCCAAGGCAGCGCCCCCUCCACUCCCCAGCGCCUGCCCCGGCCGGGAAAGGCCCGCACCACGCCGCAGUCUAACCACUGCAGACAGUCACUGGGAAUUUUCUGAUAAAUUAUUUUGUCUAGCCUGCUUUCCAGGCCAACCUCUUUGGCCUCCACAGCUCUUAUAAAUCAUUUCCCAUUGAGUGGGAAACUGAAUUCUUCCCAAGUCUCAGCUUCAAAGUGGGUGGGUUUCUUUGUUUAGACAUUUCCUAUUUUUAUAGGCAAUAAAGAGACCCCCACCUUCAUCAGGGCACCAGCUGGUCAGGGCGUGAGGCGGCAGGCUUGGAGGCCUCCCUGGCUGUGAGCUGUGAAAGGGGAAGCCAUGGGUUCAAGAUGGAGAGUGGGCUGGGGGAAGAUCCUUGCUUGUUUUGGAAUAAACAAAGUGCCCAGCUGUACAUUCUACAGCACCUACUGUGCACGCCAGUUCGGGGGCUGGGCUCUCCACAGAGCUGUGGUUCAGGCCUAAAAUGGGAUGAGGAGUGGACGAAAAUGCCAGCCUUGCUCCGGGGAUGCUGUAUCCUGGGCUGCUGUAUCCUGGGCACAUGGCAAGGAACGCACUAGCUAGAGUCCUGUAGCUGUGAGGUGGGAGGCUGGCCGGCGGGGGGAUGUGCCGGCCUCCUGGCUGCUCUAACAGUCGGCAUCAGUGGAGCACGAAACUUCUCCACACAAUACAAGUUUAUUCUUUCACAGUUCUGGAGGCCAGGAGCACACAGCCAAGGUGUGAGUGGGGCUGUGAUCCCUCCAGAGGCCUUAGGGGAGGACCCUUCUCCCCUUCCAGCUUCUGUGGCCCUGGAAAUGCUUGGCUUAUAGAGGCAUGACUCUGACUUCUGCCUCCUCUUUACAGAGCCUCUCCUCCAUGGCUCCUCUCUGUCUCCUCUGUGUCUCGUCUGUGGCUCCUCCAUGUCCCCUCUGAGGCUCUUCUGUGGCUCCUCCAUGUCUCCUCUGAGGCUCCUCUGUGGCUCCUCCAUGUCUCCUCUGAGGCUCCUCUAUGGCUCCUCCAUGGCUCCUCCGUGGCUCCUCUCUGUUUCCUCUGUGAUUCCUCUGUUGGCUCCUCUGUUGGCUCCUCUGUGUCUCCUCUGUGGCUCCUCUGUGGCUCCACGGCUCCUCUAUGACUCCUCUCUGUCUCCUCUGUGACCCCUCUGUUGGCUUGUCUGUGUCUCCUCUGAGGCUCCUCUGUGUCUCCUCUGCGUCUCCUCUGUGGCUCCGCGGCUCCUCUAUGGCUCUUCUGUGUCUCCUCUGUGGCCUCUGUGGCUCAUCUGUGGCUCCUCUGAGGCUCCUCUGUGGCUCCUCUGUGUGUCUGAAUUUUCCUCGUCUUAUAAGGACACCAGUCAUUAGGUUUGGGAUCCACCCUCAUCCGGUAUGAUCUCAUCUUGACUUGCUCACAUCAGUGAAGACCAUAUUUCCAAGUAAGGUCACAUUCGCAGGCCCCAGUGGAUGUGAAUCUUGAGGUGCCCUGUUCCACCCAGCACAGAUGAUCCAUACAGUCUCCCAAGGAGCCACGCCCGACACCCUCCACUUCCCAGAAGGGCUGGGUCUGUCCUUCUGUGGGGGCUUUGAGCAUUCCAAGCCCCCAAUCCUAGGGGCAAGAUUACUCCAGCCUUGGCAGUCUCACCCUUAAAUGUUAUUUUACUUGCCA
rnacentral:lncRNA from 1 species